CUCCGUUAACAUUCAUAUCAAUAUACGUACGAUAACAAAUCUUUUUUUACAAGUUCGAUCAAUGGAGAAAUCAUCUGCUCUCUUCCUUUUUUUACGGCACGAAGCACGGCACGGCACGAGCACGUCUUGGUAGAGCACGCGGCACGGCACGACACGCACGUGGGCUGUGCCGGGCUUAGAUUUUAGGCACGCGGGCCUUAAAAGCACGGCACGAUUAGAUAUGGGCCAAAGUACGGUACGCGAAAAAGCACGCAAUAAGCACGUUUUAUUUUUUAAUGAAAAUAAACUUAAAAUUUUAUUAUUUUAUAAAUAACUUGAAAUUGAAUCUUUUAAUAUCUUUAUUGGCUCAAGUUUUUUAAAU
rnacentral:lncRNA from 1 species